rnacentral:rRNA from 1 species
AACCUCCGCAAUGUGAGAAAUCGCGACGGGGGGAUCCCAAGUGCCAUUCUUAACGGGAUGGCUUUUCAUUAGUGUAAAGAGCUUUUGGAAUAAGAGCUGGGCAAGACCGGUGCCAGCCGCCGCGGUAACACCAGCAGCUCUAGUGGUAACAAUUUUUAUUGGGCCUAAAGCGUCCGUAGCCGGUUUAAUAAGUCUCUGGUGAAAUCCUGCAGCUUAACUGUGGGAAUUGCUGGAGAUACUAUUAGACUUGAGACCGGGAGAGGUUAGAGGUACUCCCAGGGUAGAGGUGAAAUUCUGUAAUCCUGGGAGGACCGCCUGUUGCGAAGGCGUCUAACUGGAACGGUUCUGACGGUGAGGGACGAAAGUUAGGGGCGCGAACCGGAUUAGAUACCCGGGUAGUCCUAACUGUAAACGAUGCGGACUUGGUGUUGGGGUGGCUUUGAGCUGCUUCAGUGCCGAAGGGAAGCUGUAAGUCCGCCGCCUGGAAGUACGGUCGCAAGACUGAAACUUAAAGGAAUU